GGGCAAUCGUCCGGCGGCAUCAGGAUAGUUCCUUGACGUAUGAGUUUUAGGACCUGAAAUCAAGAUACGUCGCACUUCUGUUGUAGGACUGACUGAGACGUACACGGAAAAGAAAAAUACAGUGCAUAUAAGCAGAAAUAUUUAGCUGAAUGGAAGUUUUAUCAUUGUCACUCACCUCUUCGUUGCUGUGGCCGUAAUAGGGUAUCUUCCCGAACGAGAAGACUUCCCAGAGGACAACGCCGAAACUCCAGACGUCGGUUUCCAGAGUGAAGCGCCCGUACAUCACGCUUUCCGGCGACAUCCAUCGAACCGGCAACAAACGCGUUCCUCCGAUCUGAGAAGUACCGUUUUCGGCAAGGACAAGGUCCCGCGUAGGUGGGGACAUAUCAUGAGGACAGAUGCAGUCUGAUGUGUCCCCCAAGUCGCGGCAGGCUGCCUCCAUGCCGCAAAUGUCCGGAUUUUCCUUGCAUCCUUUGAUCUCGGCGAAUUGCAUUGGCUGCUCAUCAGAUUCGUUCGGCGGUGGCUCUACAAUAAUAUUACGGAAAUCAUUGGAAUCGCAAUUUCACGUAUGCUCGAUGCUUCGCAGAUACGAAGCUUCACCGAUGAAAAAUGUAUUGCGAUUGGAAAUGAACAAUACGAAGAGGCGACGACCAUCAGUUGGCGAAUUAAACAUGUAUAGUAAAUGUUCUUCGUUUUAACAGAAUGUAAAAGUUGGAAAAUAGUUGGUAGCAAAUAUUCCUAAGGGAUAAGAGAAGCAGUUCCUCAAUCUUCAAGAUAGAAAUUACACGAAGGCAAGGAAAUCACGCAUAAGUGUGACAGAAUACAACGUGGACCUUUGGUGUUUUGCGUUUCCUGCACGAUGGUUUCGCGGUGAACGCGCGGGACCUUCGCCGCUGGCGGCGGCAGCGGCGACGCGCCGGCGAGUAAAGAGAGAUGCUGUUGGAUUCGCAGGACCAUCGCAAACGGACUGUAAAGGGCAGCUAGGGAAGAAAAAGGGCUACAUAUUUGGAUUGGGCACAGGAAGAUAGAGACAGUGAAGGCAUUCAUUUGCUGGAGAAAGAAGAGGAGGAAUCGGCUUGGCUACCCCAUCGACGAGCACCGCGGAUCUCGGACAUUUCUACGGAGCGAGGCCUUAUCGAAAUCCGGAAUUGCCUUGAACGAUUGCCCUGGCUCGUGGCGAAACAUCAAUAAAACACCGUGUCGCUCACGUUGCACGUGUUAUUAUGUAUGAUGCACGGACAGAUUGACUCGUUAAACGGAUUUCCUCACGCCUUCAUCCUCGUCGCGCGUUCCCAAUCGCCGGUUUAGAUCCGCGGAACGUCGCUCUAGGAUCUCUCGGAGGAUCCUUGUCGCGAAUCGCCGUGGUGCCGGCCGAGAUCGAUCCCGUAAUAACACCGGGUCAUACUGUCGUGUUGCUGGAGAACGGAAGUCUUUUGAGCACGCCCUUGAGGAUAACGACGUCGUAGGUGGAUGUUAAAACUUUAAGCCGGAAGCCAAAAUCUCGUAGCCGUCCCGGGGUGACUCGGCAAGGGAGACGACGUGUAGGAGUAGACGGAGUGAGUAUUCUCACUUCGAUGAAUGCUUAACAGAAACUGAGGACCGCCUUCGAGACUCCCUCGCUUCGCUACGCGCACGAAGCAUCAGCGAUCGCGUGCGUAUGUGUUUGUGUGCGUACGGUAUAUCUAUAUUGGUAUACGCGUGCGGUCGUAUGCACGUGUACGCACACCACACGGGAACAUAUACGAGACUUUAAUUCGAUUCAUCAUCUCUUGUCUGCUCGACCUACGCCAUCGUCAAGAAAAAAAAGAAAGGAAAAGGGAGCCGACAGCGGUGCCUGUAUACUUCCGGAUUUAUCAGGGGAGGACUCGCGUCUUUGCCGAUGUCAGUUUACAGUUUUCAAGAGAUCAAAACACGCACGCAAGUAAACGAGAAAUGGGUCGAAAAACAAAGGUCGUCGAGGGAGCAAGGGGCCAAGGGGGACACGUUAAUAGUUUCCGAAGAGCCUCCUCCCCGUCGGAAUGGCGAAAAAAAAGAUUGAAGAUGAGAAAUUGGAGGAACUACUCAACAAAAAUUCUUGUCGAACGCAAAAGGAGUUUGCUGAAGAACUGAGAGUCACUCAAGCUAUUUCUAUACGUUUAAAGAAGCUCGGAAGAGUACAGAAGAAAAGUUGUUGAGUUCCUUAUUACUGUCUUACUCCUGAAAACAAAAUUCAACGCUGUGACAUGGCAUACGCAUACCCAAAAGGAAGUCCUCUACCCUAUACUGACGUUGCAUUGAGAAAAAGGGAAGGGUGCACGCAGGGUGGCUCACACCCGUCGAACGUUGCGAAUUGUCGUCAGAGUGUUCGACAGCCGUACGACAUAAAGUCAGCGUGCGUGCAGACGGUGGGCCGUAAGAGAGGGCGGUCUAAAAAAAAUAAAGCAGCAGGCACGAAGAUGAGAGUUGUUUGUGUUUCCACGCGAGAUGGGUGAUUUCUAAAUGACAAGAGACAACUGGAAUAACUUGCAUUUCGGAACAAUACUCCGUGGAAUCGGAAACGAUAGUAAACCGUUCAUGAGCGACUGGCUACAAAAAGGCGGAGAAUGGGGCGGUCCUAAAGAUAUCCUUAGAAAUGAGCAUGUGUCAAGUAUGUAACAUAUCAUGAAAUUCGUCUAUUACGAUAACAUAUCUGGGAGAACUAAAAAAAUGAAGAGUUAGUUUCUAAUGCUUAAAAAAGACUUAUUAGAUACCACAUGGAGAAAGAGAUAAUUUGUGAUGUAGUAGUUAUUAAAAAAUAUACGUUAAAAAAGCACAAUAAAAAAUUAUGUAAGAAAAAUUAAAUAAUUAUACUUUUAGAAAACUUUACCAAGUUAGGUGAGUAACAAUUUAUUAAUAUACUGAUCACAAUUAGUUGAUAGAGUCAUACUAUAUAUUUUCAUAUU